GACGAACGCUGGCGGCGUGCUUAACACAUGCAAGUCGAACGGAAAGGCCCUGCUUUUGUGGGGUGCUCGAGUGGCGAACGGGUGAGUAACACGUGAGUAACCUGCCCUUGACUUUGGGAUAACUUCAGGAAACUGGGGCUAAUACCGGAUAGGAGCUCCUGCUGCAUGGUGGGGGUUGGAAAGUUUCGGCGGGUGGGGAUGGACUCGCGGCUUAUCAGCUUGUUGGUGGGGUAGUGGCUUACCAAGGCUUUGACGGGUAGCCGGCCUGAGAGGGUGACCGGCCACAUUGGGACUGAGAUACGGCCCAGACUCCUACGGGAGGCAGCAGUGGGGAAUAUUGCACAAUGGGCGGAAGCCUGAUGCAGCAACGCCGCGUGCGGGAUGACGGCCUUCGGGGUGUAAACCGCUUUCGCCUGUGACGAAGCGGGAGUGACGGUAAUGGGUAAAGAAGCACCGGCUAACUACGUG
rnacentral:rRNA from 1 species